AAUGAACGCUGGCGGCAUGCCUAACACAUGCAAGUCGAACGAACCCUUCGGGGUUAGUGGCGCACGGGUGCGUAACGCGUGGGAAUCUGCCCUUUGCUUCGGAAUAACAGUUAGAAAUGACUGCUAAUACCGGAUGAUGUCGCAAGACCAAAGAUUUAUCGGCAAAGGAUGAGCCCGCGUAGGAUUAGCUUGUUGGUGAGGUAAAAGCUCACCAAGGCGACGAUCCUUAGCUGGUCUGAGAGGAUGAUCAGCCACACUGGGACUGAGACACGGCCCAGACUCCUACGGGAGGCAGCAGUGGGGAAUAUUGGACAAUGGGCGAAAGCCUGAUCCAGCAAUGCCGCGUGAGUGAUGAAGGCCUUAGGGUUGUAAAGCUCUUUUACCCGGGAUGAUAAUGACAGUACCGGGAGAAUAAGCUCCGGGCUAACUCCGUGCCAGCAG
rnacentral:rRNA from 1 species